UACAGAGGGGGCAAGCGUUAUUCGGAAUUAUUGGGCGUAAAGGGCGCGUAGGCGGCCUGACAAGUGGAAGGUGAAAUCCCUCGGCUUAACCGAGGAACUGCCCUCCAAACUGUUUGGCUUGAGACCGGGAGAGGUGAGUGGAAUUCCCAGUGUAGCGGUGAAAUGCGUAGAUAUUGGGAGGAACACCAGUGGCGAAGGCGGCUCACUGGACCGGUAUUGACGCUGAGGCGCGAAAGCGUGGGGAGCAAACGGG
rnacentral:rRNA from 1 species